AGGAGAGCUGUUGCGCCGGACUUGAGGGGCAACGUGGCCUCCGCCAGAGUGGUGUGUCGGUUGACCGGUAGGCGGCGCGUGCAUGCAACGAGAACGCCGAUGGAGACGCUUUCCUGCGGGUUGUUUCUGCCUGUUGAGCCGGCCACAGCCUGACGGCCUCGGCAGCAGCCAUCCAGGAAACUCGCAUUGAUUCCCGCGCUAGGUGACGAUGGGGCGCGACGCUACCCAUGAGAAGCGAGCACUCGAACAGUUCAAAGAAGCUAUACGGGACAUUUGGCGGGACCAGUUCACCGACCCUUACCUACUGCGAUGGCUCAUAGCAAGAGACUUCGAUGUGACCAAGGCGCAAGACCUUCUGCGCAAAAAUCUGCGAUGGAGGGCGGAGAACGACGUAGACACCCUGGUGGAUCGUUACGAGUGUCAUCCGGUGA